rnacentral:rRNA from 1 species
AGAGGGUGCAAACGUUGUUCGGAAUUACUGGGCGUAAAGCGUGUGUAGGCGGUCUUGUAAGUCGGGUGUGAAAGCCCCGGGCUCAACCCGGGAAGUGCACUCGAAACUGCGAGGCUAGAGUACUGGAGAGGUUGGUGGAAUUCUCGGUGUAGAGGUGAAAUUCGUAGAUAUCGAGAGGAACACCGGUGGCGAAGGCGGCCAACUGGACAGAUACUGACGCUGAGACACGAAAGCGUGGGGAGCAAACAGGAUUAGAUACCCUGGUAGUCCACGCCGUAAACGAUGGGUGCUAGGUGUCGCGGGCUUUGACUCCUGCGGUGCCGUAGCUAACGCAUUAAGCACCCCGCCUGGGAAGUACGGCCGCAAGGCUA